UUGAACGCUGGCGGCAGGCCUAACACAUGCAAGUCGAGCGGUARCACAGGGAGCUUGCUCCUGGGUGACGAGCGGCGGACGGGUGAGUAAUGUCUGGGAAACUGCCUGAUGGAGGGGGAUAACUACUGGAAACGGUAGCUAAUACCGCAUAACGUCUUCGGACCAAAGUGGGGGACCUUCGGGCCUCAUGCCAUCAGAUGUGCCCAGAUGGGAUUAGCUAGUAGGUGGGGUAAUGGCUCACCUAGGCGACGAUCCCUAGCUGGUCUGAGAGGAUGACCAGCCACACUGGAACUGAGACACGGUCCAGACUCCUACGGGAGGCAGCAGUGGGGAAUAUUGCACAAUGGGCGCAAGCCUGAUGCAGCCAUGCCGCGUGUAUGAAGAAGGCCUUCGGGUUGUAAAGUACUUUCAGCGAGGAGGAAGGCAUCAAGGUUAAUAACCUUGGUGAUUGACGUUACUCGCAGAAGAAGCACCGGCUAACUCC
rnacentral:rRNA from 1 species